rnacentral:rRNA from 1 species
GAUUAACGCUAGCGGCAGGCAUAAUACAUGCAAGUUGAACGGGAUUAGUUGUAGCAAUAUGACUAUGAGAGUAGCGCACGGGUGCGUAACGCGUAUGCAACCUGCCUCCAACUGGGGAAUAGCCCCUCGAAAGAGGGAUUAAUACCGCAUAAAAUAGUGAAUAGGCAUCUAUUUACUAUUAAAACUACGGUGGUUGGAGAUGGGCAUGCGUGACAUUAGCUAGUUGGUAGGGUAGUGGCCUACCAAGGCUACGAUGUCUAGGGGGUCUGAGAGGAUGUCCACCACCACUGGUACUGGGAUACGGACCAGACUCCUACGGGAGGCAGCAGUAGGGAAUAUUGGUCAAUGGAGGCAACUCUGAACCAGCCAUGCCGCGUGCAGGAUGACGGCCCUAUGGGUUGUAAACUGCUUUUGUACGGGAAGAAACCUCAUUACGUGUAAUGAGUUGACGGUACCGUGAGAAUAAGGAUCGGCUAACUUCGUGCCAGCAGCCGCCGUAA